rnacentral:rRNA from 1 species
GAUGAACGCUAGCUACAGGCUUAACACAUGCAAGUCGAGGGGAAACGACAUCGAAAGCUUGCUUUUGAUGGGCGUCGACCGGCGCACGGGUGAGUAACGCGUAUCCAACCUGCCCACCACUUGGGGAUAACCUUGCGAAAGUAAGACUAAUACCCAAUGACGUCUCUAGAAGACAUCUGAAAGAGAUUAAAGAUUUAUCGGUGAUGGAUGGGGAUGCGUCUGAUUAGCUUGUUGGCGGGGUAACGGCCCACCAAGGCGACGAUCAGUAGGGGUUCUGAGAGGAAGGUCCCCCACAUUGGAACUGAGACACGGUCCAAACUCCUACGGGAGGCAGCAGUGAGGAAUAUUGGUCAAUGGACGAGAGUCUGAACCAGCCAAGUAGCGUGCAGGAUGACGGCCCUAUGGGUUGUAAACUGCUUUUAUAAGGGAAUAAAGUGAGUCUCGUGAGACUUUUUGCAUGUACCUUAUGAAUAUGGACCGGCUAAUUCCGUG